rnacentral:rRNA from 1 species
GAUGAACGCUGGCGGCGUGCCUAAUACAUGCAAGUCGAGCGAACAGACGAGGAGCUUGCUCCUCUGACGUUAGCGGCGGACGGGUGAGUAACACGUGGAUAACCUACCUAUAAGACUGGGAUAACUUCGGGAAACCGGAGCUAAUACCGGAUAAUAUAUUGAACCGCAUGGUUCAAUAGUUAAAUACGGUUUUUCGGUCACUUAUAGAUUGAUCCGCGCCGCAUUAGCUAGUUGGUAAGGUAACGGCUUACCAAGGCAACGAUGCGUAGCCGACCUGAGAGGGUGAUCGCACACACUGGAACUGAGAAACGGUCCAGACUCCUACGGGAGGCAGCAGUAGGGAAUCUUCCGCAAUGGGCGAAAGCCUGACGGAGCAACGCCGCGUGAGUGAUGAAGGUCUUCGGAUCGUAAAACUCUGUUAUUAGGGAAGAACAAAUGUGUAAGUAACUAUGCACGUCUUGACGGUACCUAAUCAGAAAGCCACGGCUAACUACGUG